AAGUCGUAACAAGGUUUCCGUAGGUGAACCUGCGGAAGGAUCAUUAACACGUAUCCAACGUUAAACCCCCCGUGAACCUUCAGUGCGCUCGCACUUUCUUAGAAAAGGUAGCAAUCCCUGGUAAAUCAUUGCCGAACAGUUUUGAUUCAGGGACUUCUGCGUAGACUGUGCUUGAGCGUGAGGCAAGUGGCCUGGCAUUCCUCUGCUUGUUGGUGUCUGAAAGUGUCACCAGCUCUGUACGAAUGGCGCAGUCACGAUCGCUAGAGGCCGACACGGCCGGCGACCGGGUCACUGGGCGCGAGCCCCCCUAGUGCGGCCACCAAACUCGAACAACUGUUGACAAUGGAUAUCUUGGUUCUC
rnacentral:misc_RNA from 1 species